GGCGGUGUAGCUCAGUUGGUUAGAGCACGCGGUUCAUACCCGCGGCGUCACUGGUUCGAAUCCAGUCACCGCUACCA
rnacentral:tRNA from 1 species